CAACUUUCAACANCGGAUCUCUUGGUUCUGGCAUCGAUGAAGAACGCANCGAAAUGCGAUAAGUAGUGUGAAUUGCAGAAUUCAGUGAAUCAUCGAAUCUUUGAACGCACAUUGCGCCCCUUGGUAUUCCAUGGGGCAUGCCUGUUCGAGCGUCAUUU
rnacentral:rRNA from 1 species